rnacentral:rRNA from 1 species
UACGAAGGGGGCUAGCGUUGCUCGGAAUCACUGGGCGUAAAGCGCACGUAGGCGGCUUUCUAAGUCAGGGGUGAAAUCCUGGAGCUCAACUCCAGAACUGCCUUUGAUACUGGGAAGCUCGAGUCCGGAAGAGGUGAGUGGAACUGCGAGUGUAGAGGUGAAAUUCGUAGAUAUUCGCAAGAACACCAGUGGCGAAGGCGGCUCACUGGUCCGGUACUGACGCUGAAGUGCGAAAGCGUGGGGAGCAAACAGG